UGGGGAAUAUUGCACAAUGGGCGGAAGCCUGAUGCAGCGACGCCGCGUGGGGGAUGAAGGCCUUCGGGUUGUAAACUCCUUUCGACAGGGACGAAGCUUUUGUGACGGUACCUGUAUAAGAAGCACCGGCUAACUACGUGCCAGCAGCCGCGGUAAUACGUAGGGUGCGAGCGUUGUCCGGAAUUACUGGGCGUAAAGAGCUCGUAGGUGGUUUGUCGCGUCGUCUGUGAAAUUCCGGGGCUUAACUCCGGGCGUGCAGGCGAUACGGGCUGACUUGAGUGCUGUAGGGGAGACUGGAAUUCCUGGUGUAGCGGUGAAAUGCGCAGAUAUCAGGAGGAACACCGAUGGCGAAGGCAGGUCUCUGGUCUGUAACUGACGCUGAUGUGCGAAAGCGUGGGGAUCAAACAGG
rnacentral:rRNA from 1 species